rnacentral:tRNA from 1 species
GAAGGUAUAGCUCAGUGGUAGAGCGGUGCUUAGCAUGCACGAGGUCCAGGGUUCAAUCCCCACUACCUCCG